AUGGUUAAUUUAAAAACUAAUUCAUUUAAACGUUUAAAGUCUUGUGUUUAAAUCACAUCAAUGUUAUCUCGCUCACGAAUGAAGAUGCCUUGAGUGACAGCCGCCGAUGCAGCUUUGGAUUGGCAACGUUAAAAAAUAGAGAAAAAGGCGGAACGUAAGAACGAAGAUGGAGCCAUAGCAUACCCAGACUAGGAUUUAUUCUUAGUCGAUAAUGAACUGUCAUAUUCUGAUAAAUCCAUGGUGUGAACAUUCUAUAUCUUUGGGAGUACAGUACGUCACAAUGAUUAAAAGAUGACUGGAUUUUAAUAAAGCUCUAUGUUGCCUAA